rnacentral:lncRNA from 1 species
AUGCAAUGAAGUACAAUGAAAUUCAAGUUAACUGAUAUUUCUUGCUACAGGAUCAAAACUAUGCAUUGCUAAGAACAGAAACUGUUUAAUGAGGAAACAACACGAAAAAUUGAUGAUAUUGGCAGCUUUGUACAAGUUGGAGACCUGAUAUGAAACAAAUGUUGAAGUGGAACGUCUUGGGGAGGAGGCUCUUGGUCAUUACAAAGUGGCUGGCAGCAGAUGUUCUGAGAAUCCCCAAGCCUCCUCUGACCCUCCUACUUUCCUGGCACUGGAACAUGGAACUCACAGCUGAUAGCAUCAUGAAGACAGAAGACAUUUUAGGAAGGGGCCAAGGACAAAAUAAUUUUCUACAAGCAUGCCCACAAGUGACCCAUUUCCUUCAGGUAGGCCCCAUCUUUAAAAUAUGCAAUACUUAAAAUUAAUUCCACCGAGUGAGGCCAAGUCCUUAACAUAUGUGAGUUUGGGGAUCAUUUUAUGUUCAAACAUCAACAUAGG